rnacentral:lncRNA from 1 species
ACCUCAUUUUGGGACCCCUCACCUCAAACCGGGGCCCAUUUACCUCAUUUCGGGACAUUUUAUUUCAUUUAAAGACCCCUCUCCUCACACCGAGGCACUUUUACCUCACGAAAGGACCCCUCACCUCAUUUCGGGACAUUUUGCUUCAUUUAAAGACCCCUCACCCCAAACCGGGCCACUUUUCCCUCAUUCCGGGGCCCUUUUCCCUCAUUUCGGGACCUUUUUACCUCAUUUCGGGACCCCACACCUCACACCGGGCCACUUUUACCUCAUUUUGGGACCCUUCCACCUCCUUUAACCCCCCUUUACCUCACGCCGGGCCCCUUUUACCUCAUUUUGGGCCCCUUUAUCUCAUUUUGCGACCCUUUCACCUCAUUUUGGGCCCCUUCCACCCCCCCACACCCCGCGUUUCCCCCUUU